GUUCCAUCGAUCUCACCGUUACGAAAACGCCACUUUCGGUUUUAACAUCACAACUGGCGGUUGCCUUCUACUGAGUGACCAGCACGGGUAAUCCACAAGCAGGUGUUGGGGUGAAAGUAAUGGUGAUGGACAGUCAGAGUGGCCCCCUCUGGCAGAAACCACUGCGAUCUUUCACCCUGGCAUCUGCUUGGGGAUUGUUGUUCCACCACCAGGCCUUGGGUAGAGACUAUCAGCCCCGACCGUGCUUACCAUCCAGACCAACAGCUCCACACGACUGGCGCCAAACGGAAGCCCAAAGAAAAACCCGCCGUGACCAUGGUACCUCCCACAAGCGGUCUUCAUCCAAGAACCCUAGAGGAAAGGCAAAUCGCUCGGUUACCAAUGCCUCUGACAGCUCUCACUGCUCUAGCUGCCAGAAAGCGCAAGGCUCCCGCUCUGGCCUGGCCAAGAAGACAAGGCCAGGCUACCGAGAAGGCGUCGGUCUACAGUCGGCAACCGCCCACGACUUAAUUGUCUCGAAGUGUGUUUGUAGUACAUAGCCUGGAAUCACAUCUAAAGUUUGAAUGUUUGUUUCAUGCGAAAAUGCUGGCUGCCGCAUGAGCAUCCUCAAAUUCAGGUCUGCUUCCAUGCUAACCUAUACAUAGUAUGUGUAUGUCCAUGUGAUGUUCCUUUGGAUUCCCUAAACCACCUUUGACAACUUCUCCUCUGUUAUUUUCCAUCUUCUGACGAUGGAAACGCUGCUACAACGAUGGUUAUGUGGAAGUUCUUGAUGUCUCCAACAUAUGCCUGCUGUUCUUUGCAAUGCCGAUAGGCGUCUUCUAGUCCUCAUUGCCCGCUCAUAGUGGAUGUUAAAUCUGGAGUUAAGUAAGUGCAGGGCCCGAGAAAUAACGUAACACCCAACUGUCCCACAUUAUUAUACGGCCCAGUGGGAGAGCGGGACGGUAAUACAUUUGACUAGCUAGGAUUAAGACUUGUAAAUAACUUAUUUUUUCAUUGUAAAUAGAUUUUUUUUAUUUGGUGGUAAACUAAUGUUGUUUAAUCGUUAAAUAUACUAGUGUAAGCGUUAGAUAGCUGCCGACUGCUGCCUGUCGUUUUAGACAGCUAGUUAUUCGUUGCUUCCUCUGUAUGGCCCCUACGGAAGGAGGAACGGAGGUCGGGUGAUUAUUUGCCAAAGCACGCCCGCUCCAGGUUAUAGCAUUCUAUUCAACUAUCUCGGGCGGGAGUGAAAAGUAUGACGCUAAUCGUUGCUAAGAUACGGCUAGUCAUAGAAUGUCGUCUGACAGGCCAGUUUCAAAUCCGCUGAUAUUGAGCUGUCAUUUACGGAUUUAGUUCAUCUACCGAACCAAACUUUCUUCGGAUGUAACAUAAACGUGUUGUUUAUGCAAGUAUCAGAAUUCGUGAUUACGACUAUACAAUUACAGUGAAUAUAUCAACACAUGUAUGAAAAUAUUGUUUCCAUGUCUUGUACGAUGUAAUCAAAUAAAGUAGCUGGAAAACCCAAUAGA